rnacentral:snoRNA from 1 species
UGUAUCAGUGAUGACAGAGUGUUGUAAACCAAGGAUUAUGAUUAUUCUAAUUCUGUGUACCUGAGGUCCAUU